rnacentral:rRNA from 1 species
AAACUAGCAUAUCAAUAAGCGGAGGAAAAGAAACCAACAGGGAUUGCUCUAGUAACGGCGAGUGAAGCAGCAAUAGCUCAAAUUUGAAAUCUGGCGUCUUCGGCGUCCGAGUUGUAAUUUGUAGAGGAUGCUUCUGGGCAGCCACCGACCUAAGUUCCUUGGAACAGGACGUCAUAGAGGGUGAGAAUCCCGUAUGCGGUCGGAAAGGCACCCUACACGUAGCUCCUUCGACGAGUCGAGUUGUUUGGGAAUGCAGCUCUAAAUGGGAGGUAAAUUUCUUCUAAAGCUAAAUAUUGGCCAGAGACCGAUAGCGCACAAGUAGAGUGAUCGAAAGAUGAAAAGCACUUUGGAAAGAGAGUUAAAAAGCACGUGAAAUUGUUGAAAGGGAAGGGAUUGCAACCAGACUUGCUCGCGGUGUUCCGCCGGUCUUCUGACCGGUUCACUCGCCGCGUUGCAGGCCAGCAUCGUCUGGUGCCGCUGGAUAAGACUGGAGGAAUGUAGCUCCCUCGGGAGUGUUAUAGCCUCUAGUGAUGCAGCGAGCGCCGGGCGAGGUCCGCGCUUCGGCUAGGAUGCUGGCGUAAUGGUCGUAAUCCGCCCGUCUUGAAACACGGACCAAGGAGUCUAACAUCUAUGCGAGUGUUCGGGUGUCAAACCCCUACGCGUAAUGAAAGUGAACGGAGGUGAGAACCGCAAGGUGCAUCAUCGACCGAUCCUGAUGUCUUCGGAUGGAUUUGAGUAUGAGCAUAGCUGUUGGGACCCGAAAGAUGGUGAACUAUGCCUGAAUAGGGUGAAGCCAGAGGAAACUCUGGUGGAGGCUCGCAGCGGUUCUGACGUGCAAAUCGAUCGUCAAAUUUGGGUAUAGGGGCGAAAGACUAAUCGAACCAUCUUGGUGCU